GGCGAAAGGCAUUAGCGGCGCGGUGGAGGCAAAGAGUUCGGCCGCGUGGCGGCGUCACGAACGUUCCGCAUUGUUUGGAUGAAUUGAAAGGCAGAAAGGCGCAAACGAUCGCUGGCGUAGAGUCCAGCUAGUAGCAGACCGCUUCUGGUCAAGAUGGAGGACGGAGCUCUUGUCUUCACUCCAAGAGCGCCGACGAUGGAGGUCGGCGAGGCCCAACGUUCAACCGGGCGACGUCGUGCUCCUGAUGGAGGAAUCUCCGAGAGGCAGCUGGCCUCUGGGCCGGAUCGUCGAGGCCGUGCCCAGCCGUGACGGCCUGGUGAGGAAGGUGAAGGUUCGCUCCGGAGGCCGGGACCUGGAGCGGCCUGUGCACGGCAUCGUCAGCCUGACGCGCUGAGCGGCAUGGCCGGCGCGGCAGAGACCGGGAGCUGACCGUGGCGACUCUCAGCCCGGGCGCCGAGCGGGGUGAGAUGUGAUACAGACUCGGUGAAUGGAGGACUCGAGCGGCUGAUGUGGCCGUGCGAUGAUGGUCAAGGGUGGUGGCUCCAUCUGCGGGUGGCCGUCGCUAUCCGACAUCUGACUGAUCGGAGCCAGUGUGUGUACCUAUUCACCGGCAGGGAGUUGUGUCAGCCGAGACACGCACUCUCACGAUCGGACUGUGGUGUUAUGAGGAGCCACGCGCUGUGAGAAUGCAUUCCUAAGUGUUACGAGGAGCCACUCGUGUUGUGAAAGGUGCAUUUUGAGUGUCAUGGGGAGUCACACGUGCCGUGAGAAGUGCUCACCUAAGCGUUAUGAGAAGUUAUGAGUCAUGCGCAGUCAUAUGCGUGGCGAUAAGUGUGUGGGAGUUGCUAGAGAAGUAAAUUUUGUUUACCAAAUUUAGAGGAGCCAUGUAACCGCGAGUGUCGCGGGCCGUAUAUUUUGGUUGCCUCGUCGUCCGUCGGCGAAAGGCAUUAGCGGCGCGGUGGAGGCAAAGAGUUCGGCCGCGUGGCGGCGUCACGAACGUUCCGCAUUGUUUGGAUGAAUUGAAAGGCAGAAAGGCGCAAACGAUGUAAGUUGGUUGAAAUGAUUAAUUUUUGCUAUGUACUGUGCAAUGAGUUAAUGGCUGACUUCAUUCUUAACGAUUUAACGACUGUUUCAUACGAUUUUCUGUUCGUUUCAGAAUUUACGGCAUAAUACAGCUAUGUCAC
rnacentral:lncRNA from 1 species